rnacentral:rRNA from 1 species
AACGAACGCUGGCGGCAGGCUUAACACAUGCAAGUCGAGCGAUGAAGUUUCCUUCGGGAAACGGAUUAGCGGCGGACGGGUGAGUAACACGUGGGUAACCUGCCUCAUAGAGUGGAAUAGCCUUCCGAAAGGAAGAUUAAUACCGCAUAACGUUGAAAGAUGGCAUCAUCAUUCAACCAAAGGAGUAAUCCGCUAUGAGAUGGACCCGCGGCGCAUUAGCUAGUUGGUGGGGUAACGGCCUACCAAGGCGACGAUGCGUAGCCGACCUGAGAGGGUGAUCGGCCACAUUGGGACUGAGACACGGCCCAGACUCCUACGGGAGGCAGCAGUGGGGAAUAUUGCACAAUGGGGGGAACCCUGAUGCAGCAACGCCGCGUGAGUGAUGAAGGUUUUCGGAUCGUAAAGCUCUGUCUUUGGGGAAGAUAAUGACGGUACCCAAGGAGGAAGCCACGGCUAACUACGUGCCAGCCGCCGCAGUAACAC